ACAUCCAGAGAACUUAGCAGAGAUGCUUUGGUGCCUUCGGGAACUCUGAGACAGGUGCUGCAUGGCUGUCGUCAGCUCGUGUUGUGAAAUGUUCGGGUUAAGUCCCGCAACGAGCGCAACCCUUAUCCUUUGUUGCCAGCGGUUCGGCCGGGAACUCAAAGGAGACUGCCGGUGAUAAACCGGAGGAAGGUGGGGAUGACGUCAAGUCAUCAUGGCCCUUACGGCCAGGGCUACACACGUGCUACAAUGGCGCAUACAAAGAGAAGCGACCUCGCGAGAGCAAGCGGACCUCAUAAAGUGCGUCGUAGUCCGGAUUGGAGUCUGCAACUCGACUCCAUGAAGUCGGAAUCGCUAGUAAUCGUAGAUCAGAAUGCUACGGUGAAUACGUUCCCGGGCCUUGUACACACCGCCCGUCACACCAUGGGAGUGGGUUGCAAAAGAAGUAGGUAGCUUAACCUUCGGGAGGGCGCUUACCACUUUGUGAUUCAUGACUGGGGUGAAGUCGUAACAAGGUAAGCGUAGCGAG
rnacentral:rRNA from 1 species